UACGUAGGGUGCAAGCGUUGUCCGGAAUUACUGGGCGUAAAGCGCGUGUAGGCGGCUGGUCAAGCGUGGUGUGAAAUCUCCGGGCUCAACCCGGAAACUGCAUUGCGAACUGACCUAGCUGGAGUGCAGGAGAGGGCAGCGGAAUUCCCGGUGUAGCGGUGAAAUGCGUAGAUAUCGGGAAGAACACCAGUGGCGAAGGCGGCUGCCUGGCCUGUAACUGACGCUGAGACGCGAAAGCGUGGGGAGCGAACCGG
rnacentral:rRNA from 1 species